GUGAGGAAUAUUGGUCAAUGGGCGCAAGCCUGAACCAGCCAUGCCGCGUGCAGGAAGACGGUCCUAUGGAUUGUAAACUGCUUUUAUUUGGGAAUAAACUCCGGUACGUGUACCGGCCUGAAGGUACCAAAUGAAUAAGCACCGGCUAACUCCGUGCCAGCAGCCGCGGUAAUACGGAGGGUGCAAGCGUUAUCCGGAAUCAUUGGGUUUAAAGGGUCCGCAGGCGGUCUUAUAAGUCAGUGGGGAAAGCCUACAGCUCAACUGUAGAACUGCCAUUGAUACUGUAGGACUUGAAUUCGAUCGAAGUGGGCGGAAUGUGACAUGUAGCGGUGAAAUGCUUAGAUAUGUCACAGAACACCGAUAGCGAAGGCAGCUCACUAGGUCUGGAUUGACGCUCAGGGACGAAAGCGUGGGGAGCAAACAGGAUUAGAAACCCGAGUAGUCC
rnacentral:rRNA from 1 species